AGGACUAACGCUGGCGGCGUGCCUAACACAUGCAAGUCGAGCGGGGUAGCAAUACCCAGCGGCAGACGGGUGAGUAACGCGUGGUCAACCUUCCGUUGAAUGGGGGAUAACUAGCCGAAAGGUUAGCUAAUACCGCAUACGAUCUUUUGAAGGCAUCUUUAAAAGAUGAAAGGAGCAAUUCGUUCAACGACGGGACCGCGUCCCAUUAGCUAGAUGGUGGGGUAAUGGCCUACCAUGGCAACGAUGGGUAGCUGGUUUGAGAGAGCGACCAGCCACACUGGGACUGAGAAACGGCCCAGACUCCUACGGGAGGCAGCAGUGAGGAAUUUUCCGCAAUGGGCGAAAGCCUGACGGAGCGACGCCGCGUGUGGGAAGAAGGCCUUCGGGUCGUAAACCACUGUCGAAGGGACGAUAAUGACGGUACCCUUGGAGGAAGCCCCGGACUAACGUACGUGCCAGCAGCCGC
rnacentral:rRNA from 1 species